GAUGAACGCUGACAGAAUGCUUAACACAUGCCAGUCUUUGGCGAAGCUGUGCUUGCACAGCCUAGCCAAGGCGGACGGGUGAGUAACGCGUAAGGAACUUGCCCUGCAGUCAGGGAUAACAGACGGAAACGACUGAUAAGACCUGGUAAAGUCAGGCGGACUCAUGUCCAGCCUGAUGAAAAGUGAUGCUGCAGGAGAGCCUUGCGUCCUAUUAGCUUGUUGGUGGGGUAACGGCCCACCAAGGCGAUGAUAGGUAGCCGGCCUGAGAGGGUGGACGGCCACAAGGGGACUGAGAUACGGCCCUUACUCCUACGGGAGGCAGCAGUGGGGAAUAUUGGACAAUGGGGGCAACCCUGAUCCAGCAAUUCUGUGUGCACGAUGAAGGUUUUCGGAUUGUAAAGUGCUUUCAACAGGGAAGAAAAAAAUGACGGUACCUGCAGAAGAAGCGACGGCUAAAUACGUG
rnacentral:rRNA from 1 species